UUUACUAAGUGUGUCAAAUUGAUAAGUGUGUUAUGACUGCGCAAUUAGAAUCACGUCGCACUAACAAAUAGAGAUGUGCAUCUGGCAACAGAAGAGGAGAACACGCUAUUAAAUAUUGCUUUCCUUCUGUAACGUGUUUUCCUAAAUUAUUUCAAAACUUUUUUAUCUGUUCCCAGCACAACAGAUUCCUGAAAGAGUGAGACGGGAUUUUACACUAGUCAUGGUACAAAAUCACGUUACAUUCAUAUUUUUACUGUUGAACUUGUGAGAAAUAUUAAGAUUCUAUGUUGAAGAUGAAAUAAGUACACCCUUAUGUAAGACGUGAUGCCAAUUCUUAAGGCUGGCUGCAGACACAGGUGGUUCUGUUGAUUGGGGAAUUACAAAGAAGCUGUGUGUUAUAGGCGGGGAGAAGAGUAGAGGCGAGAUGUUGGGGAGAAAUUUUAAAUAAAUGGGAGUUUGUUAGAGCUGAGCAAGCUUAGAGGACUGGGGGGGAGGUGAUGGUGAUCUUGGUUUCUGUGGCAGAAGCACGCUUGCUGUUGAGGUUGCAAGGAUUAUUGGCAAAGUAAAUAUUCUGUGUUAGACUCCUGCAUUCAGGCCAAAGACAAGAAGAUCACAAAAUAUCACCUAGGCAUUUGCAUCUUUUGGUCAGCAUGUUGAUUCUGAUAAAACAUCUUAUCCCGUCUCAUCGAAACAAGCUGAAUUUACAAAGAAAUCCAUUCUUGUAUAAGAAAUUGGGAGCUGGCCUGUGAAGAUCAGCUUGGGUGAAAAGGUUGUUUUCCAUUACAAAAUACAUUACAUGAACACAUGUGUCAACACUAUGUCAACGUUACACAGUAAGUAGCAAAAAUACUUGAAAUUUCAAACAUAGACCCAGAUUUUAGAGUAUUUACUGUGCAGCUAGAAAACUGAAGUUUUAUGUUAGUUCUGCAUAAUAAAAACGACUUUAGCAUGAACUCAGAUUUUUCUAAGGUAACUGAGACGCAUAACAUGAAGAAAUUGGGAGUAUACCUAGAUGAAUAGCAGAAUGGGGGGGGGCAGGGGAGGGAGAGUGACUGGAGUGAAAGAGUCUAUUUGAAGACCAGCACCAUGAUAGUAUUUGUCUGAAUCUCAUGAAGUAACUAGGAAUAUGGCCUGUAAGAUCGUGAAAGUAAUACUGAAAGUUUUCCAGACGGCAGAGGUUGGUCAGUCAGGUCAUCAU